rnacentral:rRNA from 1 species
CGCGUGCGAAUAUUGGCACAAUGUGGGGAAGCCUGAUGCAGCAACGCCGCGUGAGUGAUGAAGGCCUUCGGGUUGUAAAGCUCUGUCUUUAGGGAAGAAAAUGACGGUACUUAAGGAGGAAGCCCCUGCUAACUACCUGCCAGCAACCGCGGUAUUCAUAA